GAACUGCACAGUCAAAGCAUCACUUUUCUUUUUUAGCAAAGCAUGGCCUCUUGUUGCUCCAACAAGGCGAGCUUUAAUAACUCCAAGCAUCGUAACUGUUGGGACGACAACCAAACGGUUGGUUUGCCCUGACAUUUUUCCAAGCUACUUAGAUGUAGAUUUCGCCGGAGAAGAAAGAGAUCACCGGAGCUUCAAACAAACUCAGCAGAAAAAGAGAAUUGGGUCAACU
rnacentral:misc_RNA from 1 species